rfam:Gossypium raimondii Chr13_contig_234, whole genome shotgun sequence.
UGUUAAAAUUUUUAUUGUUAAAAACUGGCAUGACUAACAAAAUAAUUAAGCAGUGACAUGUGGCUUGUCAUGUGUACUCCGUGUUGAUGUACAAAGAUAAAAUUUUAACAGUAAAAAUAGAAGGAAUUUCUAAUA